GACGAACGCUGGCGGCGUGCUUAACACAUGCAAGUCGAACGAUGAAGCCGGAGCUUGCUCUGGUGAAUUAGUGGCGAACGGGUGAGUAACACGUGAGUAACCUGCCCUUGACUCUGGGAUAACUGCUAGAAAUGGUAGCUAAUACCGGAUACGACCCUCGGCGGCAUCGCCAGGGGGUGGAAAGAAUUUCGGUCAAGGAUGGACUCGCGGCCUAUCAGCUAGUUGGUGAGGUAACGGCUCACCAAGGCGACGACGGGUAGCCGGCCUGAGAGGGUGACCGGCCACACUGGGACUGAGACACGGCCCAGACUCCUACGGGAGGCAGCAGUGGGGAAUAUUGCACAAUGGGCGCAAGCCUGAUGCAGCAACGCCGCGUGAGGGAUGACGGCCUUCGGGUUGUAAACCGCUUUCAGCAGGGAAGAAGCCGCAAGGUGACGGUACCUGCAGAAGAAGCACCGGCUAACUACGUGCCAGCAGCCGCCGCGG
rnacentral:rRNA from 1 species